UGGAGGUUGUUCCCUUGAGGAGUGGCUUCCGGAGCUAACGCGUUAAGUCGACCGCCUGGGGAGUACGGCCGCAAGGUUAAAACUCAAAUGAAUUGACGGGGGCCCGCACAAGCGGUGGAGCAUGUGGUUUAAUUCGAUGCAACGCGAAGAACCUUACCUACUCUUGACAUCCAGCGAACUUAGCAGAGAUGCUUUGGUGCCUUCGGGAACGCUGAGACAGGUGCUGCAUGGCUGUCGUCAGCUCGUGUUGUGAAAUGUUGGGUUAAGUCCCGCAACGAGCGCAACCCUUAUCCUUUGUUGCCAGCGAUUCGGUCGGGAACUCAAAGGAGACUGCCGGUGAUAAACCGGAGGAAGGUGGGGAUGACGUCAAGUCAUCAUGGCCCUUACGAGUAGGGCUACACACGUGCUACAAUGGCGCAUACAAAGAGAAGCGACCUCGCGAGAGCAAGCGGACCUCACAAAGUGCGUCGUAGUCCGGAUCGGAGUCUGCAACUCGACUCCGUGAAGUCGGAAUCGCUAGUAAUCGUGGAUCAGAAUGCCACGGUGAAUACGUUCCCGGGCCUUGUACACACCGCCCGUCACACCAUGGGAGUGGGUUGCA
rnacentral:rRNA from 1 species